GGGAACGCGGGGAAGUGAAACAUCUCAGUACCCGCAGGAAGAGAAAACAACAGUGAUUCCGUGAGUAGUGGCGAGCGAAAGCGGAAGUGGCUAAACCGUCUGUGUGUGAUACCCGGCAGGGGUUGCAUGGGCGGGGUUGUGGGAGCAUCAUUGCCUGGUCUGCCGGCUGGGUCGUGUGAGUGCAGCGUGAUAGUCGAAUCAUCUUGAGUGGUGUGCCGUAGAGGGUGUGAGUCCCGUAGACGAAAUCAUUGUUGCCGCGCGUGGUGUUUCCCGAGUAGCACGGAGCCCGUGAAACUUCGUGUGAAUCUGCCAGGACCACCUGGUAAGCCUGAAUACUACCUGAUGACCUAUAGCGGACCAGUACCGUGAGGG
rnacentral:rRNA from 1 species